AGGGCACCACCAGGAGUGGAGCCUGCGGCUUAAUUUGACUCAACACGGGAAAACUCACCCGGCCCGGACACUGGAAGGAUUGACAGAUUGAGAGCUCUUUCUUGAUUCAGUGGGUGGUGGUGCAUGGCCGUUCUUAGUUGGUGGAGUGAUUUGUCUGGUUAAUUCCGAUAACGAACGAGACUCUAGCCUAUUAAAUAGAUCGUUGGCUUACAAACGCCGGCGAGACUUCUUAGAGGGACAGGCGGCGAUUCAGCCGCACGAAACAGAGCAAUAACAGGUCUGUGAUGCCCUUAGAUGUCCGGGGCCGUACGCGCGCUACACUGAAGUGAUCAGCGUGCAUUUUGAAACCUACUCUGUCAAGAGUGGGGAACCCAAUGAACCUUCUUCGUGAUUGGGAUAGGGGAUUGUAAUUAUUCCCCUUGAACGAGGAAUUCCCAGUAAGCGCGAAUCGUAAGUUUGCGCUGAUUACGUCCCUGCCCUUUGUACACACCGCCCGUCGCUACUACCGAUUGAAUGUUU
rnacentral:rRNA from 1 species